GACGAACGCUGGCGGCGUGCCUAAUACAUGCAAGUCGUGCGGACCUUGUUGAAAGCUUGCUUUUAAAAGGUUAGCGGCGGACGGGUGAGUAACACGUGGGCAACCUGCCUGUAAGACUGGGAUAACGCCGGGAAACCGGGGCUAAUACCAGAUCGUUUUUUCCUCCGCAUGGAGGAAAAAGGAAAGGCGGCUUCGGCUGCCACUUACAGAUGGGCCCGCGGCGCAUUAGCUAGUUGGCGGGGUAAUGGCCGACCAAGGCAACGAUGCGUAGCCGACCUGAGAGGGUGAUCGGCCACAUUGGGACUGAGACACGGCCCAAACUCCUACGGGAGGCAGCAGUAGGGAAUCUUCCGCAAUGGACGAAAGUCUGACGGAGCAACGCCGCGGGAGUGAAGAAGGCCUUCGGGUCGUAAAACUCUGUUGCCGGGGAAGAACAAGUGCCGUUCGAACAGGGCGGCGCCUUGACGGUACCCGGCCAGAAAGCCACGGCUAACUACGUG
rnacentral:rRNA from 1 species